rnacentral:lncRNA from 1 species
GGUUUUUUCUAGAGAGAGAAAGGCGUAAGAAAAUGUGUAAGAGAGGGGACAAUAUAUAGAGAGGUAUAGAACAUCGAACGUCGCCAGUUAAAAUUUCCCAAGAUUCAGUUAUCUUUUUCCCGCCAAACGUCAAGAUUAAGUUACACUUCAUGGCUGAGUUCCUUUAACAUUUACUGCUGACUUAGUAAUUGGGGUUUAGGGUUUAGGGUUUAGGGGUUGCUUAUGUAGGGUUUAGGUUUGCUUUUUUGGGGAUUUAGGUUUAGGAUUUGGAUUUAUGGUGCAAGAAAUAUAAUAAAUAA